GGGUGUAGCUCAGUGGUAGAGAGCAUGCUAGCAGGCAUGGGGUCCUGGGUUCAAUCCCCAGUACGCCCA
rnacentral:tRNA from 1 species